rnacentral:rRNA from 1 species
GGUGAACGCUGGCGGUAGGCCUAACACAUGCAAGUCGAACGGCAGCACAGUAAGAGCUUGCUCUUACGGGUGGCGAGUGGCGGACGGGUGAGGAAUACAUCGGAAUCUACUUUUUCGUGGGGGAUAACGUAGGGAAACUUACGCUAAUACCGCAUACGACCUACGGGUGAAAGCAGGGGAUCUUCGGACCUUGCGCGAUUGAAUGAGCCGAUGUCGGAUUAGCUAGUUGGCGGGGUAAAGGCCCACCAAGGCGACGAUCCGUAGCUGGUCUGAGAGGAUGAUCAGCCACACUGGAACUGAGACACGGUCCAGACUCCUACGGGAGGCAGCAGUGGGGAAUAUUGGACAAUGGGCGCAAGCCUGAUCCAGCCAUACCGCGUGGGUGAAGAAGGCCUUCGGGUUGUAAAGCCCUUUUGUUGGGAAAGAAAAGCAGCAGGUUAAUACCCCGCUGUUCUGACGGUACCCAAAGAAUAAGCACCGGCUAACUUC